ensembl:lncRNA
UUUUUAUUAAAAUUUAUUUUCAUUGUUAAAAUAAUAAACAGACGACAUAUUUAACAAUUAUAAUAACACAAUCAUUGGGAAAACAUCUGAAGCAGUUCCUGAGAAGAGAGAAAAGAAGAAAAGUUAUUUACAUAUUAAUGUUGUUAGUGUGUCUGUGUGUACAUCUAAUUGUUAGUGUGUCUUUGUGUACAUCUAAAUAUUAGUGUGUGUCUUUGUGUACAUCUAAAUAUUAGUGUGUGUCUUUUUGUACAUCUAAAUGUUAGUGUGUCUUUGUUUAGAACCAAAUGUUAGUGUGUCUGUGUGUACAUCUAAUUGUUAGUGUGUCCCGAUGACGUAGCGUCCCGAUGACGUGGCGUCCUGAUGGCGUCCUGUUGGUCUGCAGACAAGGAGAAGAGACAUCUGGAUUUGCUCCUGAGGGGUUGACGAGGUGUCCUGAUGGCGUCCCGUUGACGUGGCGUCCUGAUGGCGUCCCGUUGACGUGGCGUCCUGAUGGCGUCCUGAUGGCGUCCCGUUGGUCUGCAGACAAGGAGAAGAGACGUGAGGAGGAUCAUCAGGAUGUGAGACAAGAUUCAUAGAUCCAAUUAUUUUAAUUUGAUGCACAUUUUAAUUAUUUCAUGUUUGUAUGGAUGUGUAAAUCUACAUUAUAUAUUUGUGGUUGUUAAACUGUAUUUCUGUAUUUGCUUUUUAUGUUUAGCUAGUCUCUGUGCAUACCAAUAUGUUAGGCGUCUCUGUGUAAGUACUUUUUACAUUACAUUACAUUUCAUUUAGCUGACGCUUUUAUCCAAAGCGACUUACAAUAAGUGCAUUCCACCCAUAGAGUACAAACUCAGAAGUG